CCAACCGCUGCCAGCCCAACCACGGCCAUGUCGAUGGCGCUGGAUUCCGCUGCGGACCACAACCCCCACCGCUCUCAGACGCUAGUCGGCCAGCAGGUUGAUUGAUUUUUCUCGACCACAUGUGCACGCACACACACCUACACGCAAGCUGUUGGAUCAAUUUUGGCCACCGGCUAGAUUACAAGCUCGUGCUCGUGCUGCACCUCGAGCGGGAGAUGGGGAUGGGCCUGGGUGGACGGGGUAAAACGGCGUCGCUACUCCGGUGAGGCUCGGCAAGAACGGAGUGGAGGAAGUGCUUGGGCUGAGCGAGCUGUCUGCGUUGGAGAAGGAGGGCCUGGAGAGCCUCAAGGGCGAGCUGUUGUCUUCCAUCGAGAAGGGCAUCACGUUCGCGCAGGAGAGCUAGGUGGCAACGUGCUCAGUGCUCAGCCUAUAACGGUUCACACUUGAACUCAUGCAUUUUUUGUUCGGCCGCUUUCGUUGCCUCCAAACCCGGUUGUGCUGCGGGGCAUCGAGGCGUCGUCGUGCUCCACAAUAAAAUGUACUGGCUUUGAUGUCUCCAGACUGAACUGAACCUGUAGUACCAAAAACAGCAGACAUCGGUGCCUACGAGUUUAUAGCAUUUGUACCCGAGAUCACGAAGCGAAACUGAAGAUUCUGUGAGCAUUAUAUUGUGCCGAUCGGCCCCUUUGUGUUGUACAGGGGCGGGUUUGCUGUUCUU